GCCAGAGUGCCAGAGUGGUUUGAGUGCUGGACUGUGACUCUGGAGACCAGAGUUCAAUUCAUUGCUGGGCCA